rnacentral:tRNA from 1 species
GGGGUUGUGGCUCAGUGAUAGAGUGCUCACCUAGCAUGUGUGAGGUACUGGGUUCAAUUCUCAGCACCACA